AAUGACAAUGUUUUAAAAACCGGACAGGCCGGUUGGACCGGUUGGACCGGCCGGUAGGCAGUCCAAUCCGAUUUGCCUCUAAAAAUCGCCUGUAGGUUGACCCGCCCAAAAUCGGUAAAACCGGCCUGUCAAACCAGUUGGACCGCGAACGGGGAACCGAUUCAACUAUAUUUAAAUAUUUUUUAAAAUCAUAUUUUGUUAGGGGUUGGGGGUCUUUGGAAGAAUUAGUUUCAUUCCCUUCACUUUUCAGAAAGUGAGCGCCGACCCCCCACUUCCUCUCUCAAGUUCUCCACACCUCCCUGUUCCGCCGCCCACCUCGCUACCUCCGGCGCCCCAAUCGCCGAGCCCUCCCGGACUCCAUCUCUCUCGUUGCUCCUUCUCUCUUGCCCUCCCAUUGCCGCUCGUCUCCUCUCCUCGAUAACAUCCAACACCGUACAUCGCCGCCUCCGCUUCCCCAUCGCCGUCGCGCAUUUAGAGAUGCUAAUGAAGAGCUUGAUUAUGAGGAGUUGGAGGAAAUGUUAGAUGAAGAACAAGCAAAGAUGAUGAAGAUGAUAUAAUGGGGAUUAAUGAUGACGAAAUUGAUUUGUCAAGAUUUGAUGAUGAUGGAAAUACUGGUAGCAUCAACGAUGGUUUUUGUGACUUGAGUUGCAUUAAGCUUGAAGUUGGAAAUGAAAGUGGUUGAGAUGAUCACUAAGUAUUUUGUUUUGAGUUCGUAGCUUGGUAUUUUGAUAAAGACUUAUGUAUUUUGAUAAGGACUUAUGUAUUUUGAUAAAGACUUGUGUAUUUAGAUAUUUGAACUUAUUGGUCUUGUGUAUUUUGGUAUUUGAACUUAUUGGUAUUGUAAUGCAAGCUGACCAGCAUAGCAUGGCAUGGCAUGGCAGUGUAUCGGAAAAUACUUGAGAUGCAUUACGUGGCACCAAAUCUGCCAUUUUUGAUAUUUUGAUAAUGCUAUUUUUAUUUAUUA